rnacentral:lncRNA from 13 species
AAUCAUGUUUGAUUUUUCCAAAUUGUCUCAAAACAUCUUUUUCAAAUAAUUGAAACAGGAUUAAAUAAAACCCACCCAUUGAUUUGGUUGUUAUAGCUCUUAAGUUCCCUUUAACUUUUAAUACCUUUCUUUUCCCCGCCAAGUCAUUUAUUUGUUGAAGAAAAUGGAGAACUGAUGGCAUAGAAUUUCCCACACUCUAGUUUUGUUUGACUGCAUCCUCAUAGAAGUAUUUAAUACAUUAUUCUAUCCAUUAUGUUUUUUUGUAACUUUACAGUCGUGGUUCUCAGACCUCAGUGUGCAUCAUAAUCACCUGCAGGGCUUGUGAAAACAUGUAUUGCUGGGCCACACCGCCAGAAUUUCUGGAUCAGUAAAGCUGGGAAUCUGGAACCAAACCCACACUAUCUCCGAGGUAUGCUCGUAUAAUGAUAUGGCCGCCUCCAGAAAUGAAGACCCAAAGAAACUGGAACCAUGGAUGAAUACCAUCUGGUCCUGGUGA